UACCAGCACCCCGAGUGGUCGGGACGAUUAUUGGGCCUAAAGCAUCCGUAGCCGGUUCUACAAGUCUUCCGUUAAAUCCACCUGCUUAACAGAUGGGCUGCGGAGGAUACUAUAGAGCUAGGAGGCGGGAGAGGCAAGCGGUACUUAGUGGGUAGGGGUAAAAUCCGUUGAUCCAUUGAAGACCACCAGUGGCGAAGGCGGCUUGCCAGAACGCACUCGACGGUGAGGGAUGAAAGCUGGGGGAGCAAACCGU
rnacentral:rRNA from 1 species